rnacentral:rRNA from 1 species
CACCUGAGAACUACGAACAAGAGUUUAAAACUCAAAGGACUUGGCGGUUUUCCAGACCUCCCUGGAGGAGCUUGCUAUCUAACCGAUAACCCACGAAAUACCUCACCAGCCUUUGCAAACCGCAGCCUGUAUACCAUCGUCGUCAGUCUACCCUUUAAAGACAGUAUACUGAAUGGAGUAAAUUGUUAUAUCUCCUCUACGUCAGAUCGAGGUGCAGCUCAUAAGCUGGGGAUAAGUGAGCUACAAUAACUAACUAACAGGCCCUGUAAACCAAGAUAUGGACAAGCCCAUGAAAACCGGGACUCAAAACAGGAUUCAGCAGUAACGCCUAACAGAGAAUAGGUGUGAAGCACACAGCUCUGGAAUGCGCACACACCGCCCGUCAC